rnacentral:rRNA from 1 species
GAUGAACGCUGGCGGCGUGCCUAAUACAUGCAAGUCGAGCGAACAGACGAGGAGCUUGCUCCUCUGACGUUAGCGGCGGACGGGUGAGUAACACGUGGAUAACCUACCUAUAAGACUGGGAUAACUUCGGGAAACCGGAGCUAAUACCGGAUAAUAUAUUGAACCGCAUGGUUCAAUAGUGAAAGACGGUUUUGCUGUCACUUAUAGAUGGAUCCGCGCCGCAUUAGCUAGUUGGUAAGGUAACGGCUUACCAAGGCAACGAUGCGUAGCCGACCUGAGAGGGUGAUCGGCCACACGGGAACUGAGACACGGUCCAGACUCCUACGGGAGGCAGCAGUAGGGAAUCUUCCGCAAUGGGCGAAAGCCUGACGGAGCAACGCCGCGUGAGUGAUGAAGGUCUUCGGAUCGUAAAACUCUGUUAUUAGGGAAGAACAAAUGUGUAAGUAACUAUGCACGUCUUGACGGUACCUAAUCAGAAAGCCACGGCUAACU